UUUAAACGAUCGCGGGAAAUUUUCAUUUCAAGACAAGGCGCGAAACACAGGGAUUUGGUUAUUAUGCGUUAACGCUAAAUUCCGAUCAGCUCCUCACAAUAUUGAUGUCGAUUGUUUGUCCCUGCAGUCCAGUUUAAUGGCUUACUGAGGGUAUGCCCUGUUCAUCUUAUACCAUCGUUUCUAAAGCACUGAAUCUUGGAUCUUUAGCUGUGCGAAGGUCACUGAGUUUUCAA